GUUAGACAUCCGGCGUUUGCACACGUGGCAGUGGUGCGCAAGAAAGACGAGAGAAGAAAGCUGAAGGGCACCACCUGCAAAGAAUGUGAAGUUUAUUACGCCCAUCUCCCAGAGGAGGAGAAGCAGAAGAAGCUGUCCGAAUGCUCUCGGCACCGCCAUCGCUUUAUUCCGCCCAACACUCCGGAAAAUUUCUGGGAAGUCGGAUUCCCGUCGACUCAGACGUGCAUUGAAAGAGGUUAUAUAAAGGAGGAGAAGAUCCCGCCGUCUCGUUUACGAAGAAAGCAACCUUUUGCUGCGCUUUUCUCCCCAAAGAAUAGCCAGAAGGACAGCUAACAAGUUAGUGUGUUCACCAAGGAGCUCAAUCAAGCUCUUUUUGUGCACUGACUCUAUGUACACGCACUACUUUUUCACCUUUGCUCCUUUACUCGGCAUAUAAGAUUGAGAUGUGCUCAAUAAAUAAAACAUAAGUGAAUUAAGUUUUCUGGUUGCUAAUUCAUAACUUGUAUCAUUAGGUAUAAGUAAAGGUGCAAAAUAGGCCACAUUUUAUUUUAUCUGUAGCUUAUUAAAGCACUGUUUAUGAAGUAAAAAAUAUGA